rnacentral:rRNA from 1 species
CCUACGGGGGGCUGCAGUGGGGAAUAUUGGACAAUGGGGGCAACCCUGAUCCAGCCAUGCCGCGUUUGUGAAGAAGGCCCUCGGGUUGUAAAGCACUUUCAGUGAGGAAGAACGCCUGGUGGUUAAUACCCAUCAGGAAAGACAUCACUCACAGAAGAAGCACCGGCUAACUCCGUGCCAGCAGCCGCGGUAAUACGGAGGGUGCGAGCGUUAAUCGGAAUUACUGGUCGUAAAGCGCGCGUAGGUGGCUUGAUAAGCCGGUUGUGAAAGCCCCGGGCUCAACCUGGGAACGGCAUCCGGAACUGUCAAGCUAGAGUGCAGGAGAGGAAGGUAGAAUUCCCGGUGUAGCGGUGAAAUGCGUAGAGAUCGGGAGGAAUACCAGUGGCGAAGGCGGCCUUCUGGACUGACACUGACACUGAGGUGCGAAAGCGUGGGUAGCAAACAGGAUUAGAUACCCCUGUAGUC